rnacentral:rRNA from 1 species
CAGAGGGGGCAAGCGUUAUUCGGAAUUAUUGGGCGUAAAGGGCGCGUAGGCGGGUAUUUAAGUCUGGUGUGAAAGAUCAGGGCUCAACCCUGAGAGUGCAUCGGAAACUGGGUAUCUUGAGGACAGGAGAGGAAAGUGGAAAUCCACGUGUAGCGGUGAAAUGCGUAGAUAUGUGGAGGAACACCAGUGGCGAAGGCGACUUUCUGGACUGUAACUGACGCUGAGGCGCGAAAGCGUGGGGAGCAAACAGGAUUAGAUACCCUGGUAGUCCACGCCGUAAACGAUGAGUGCUAGGUGUAGAGGGUAUCGACCCCUUCUGUGCCGCAGUUAACACAAUAAGCACUCCGCCUGGGGAGUACGGCCGCAAGGUUG